rnacentral:rRNA from 1 species
UGAUGACGAGACGCUAAGGCGUUGAAGCAGUGUAUGUCAGACUUCCAAGAAAAGCUCGCAAUGUCACAAAUAAAAACGCCUGUACCAUAACCGACACAGGUGGGUAGGUAGAGUAUACUAAGGGGCGCGAGAUAACUCUCUCUAAGGAACUCGGCAAAAUGACUCCGUAACUUCGGGAGAAGGAGUGCCUUAUUUAUAAGGUUGCAAUAACAAGAUCCAAGCAACUGUUUAUCAAAAACACAGGUCUCCGCUAAGUCGUAAGACGAUGUAUGGGGGCUGACGCCUGCCCAGUGCCAGAAGGUUAAAGAAGUUGGUUAGUGUAUGCGAAGCUGAUGACUGAAGCCCUGGUGAACGGCGGCCGUAACCAUAACGGUCCUAAGGUAGCGAAAUUCCUUGUCGGGUAAGUUCCGACCCGCACGAAAGGCGUAAUGAUUUGGAUACUGUCUCGGAGAGAGGCUCGGUGAAAUAGACUUGUCUGUGAAGAUGCGGACUACCUGCACCAGGACAGAAAGACCCUAUGAAGCUUUACUGUAACUUGAAAUUGGAAUUGGACUUUGCUUGCGCAGUAUAGGUGGGAAGCGUUGAAAAUAUUCUUGCGGGAGUAUUGGAGCUAUCAGUGAGAUACCACUCUUGUAAUGUUAGAUUUCUAACUUUGAACCAUAAUCUGGUCAAAGAACAGUUUCAGGUGGGCAGUUUGACUGGGGCGGUCGCCUCCCAAAUGGUAACGGAGGCGUACAAAGGUUUCCUCUGAACGGAUAGAAAUCGUAUCUAGAGUGUAAAGGCAUAAGGAAGCUUGACUGUGAGACCUACAAGUCGAGCAGGGACGAAAGUCGGUCUUAGUGAUCUGACGGUACUGAGUGGAAAGGCCGUCACUCAACGGAUAAAAGUUACUCUAGGAUAACAGGCUGAUCUCCCCCAAGAGUUCACAUCGACGGGGAGGUUUGGCACCUCGAUGUCGGCUCAUCGCAUCCUGGGGCGGUAGUACGUCCCAAGGGUUGGGCUGUUCGCCCAUGAAAGCGGUACGCGAGCUGGGUUCAGAACGUCGUGAGACAGUUCGGUCCAUAUCCGGUGUAGGCGCUAGAAUAUUGAGAGGAGCCUUCUUUAGUACGAGAGGACCGAGAAGGACACACCGCUGGUGUACCAGUUAUCGUGCCAACGGUAAACGCUGGGUAGCUAUGUGUGGAGUGGAUAACCGCUGAAAGCAUCUAAGUGGGAAGCCCACCUCGAGAUGAGUAUUCCC